GAUGAACGCUGGCGGCGUGCUUAACACAUGCAAGUCGAACGGUGAACGAGGGAGCUUGCUCCCUCCGGAUCAGUGGCGAACGGGUGAGUAACACGUGAGCAAUCUGCCCUGGACUCUGGGAUAAGCGUUGGAAACGACGUCUAAUACCGGAUACGAGACGCGAAGGCAUCUUCAGCGUCUGGAAAGAACUUCGGUCCAGGAUGAGCUCGCGGCCUAUCAGGUAGUUGAUGAGGUAACGGCUCACCAAGCCUACGACGGGUAGCCGGCCUGAGAGGGUGACCGGCCACACUGGGACUGAGACACGGCCCAGACCCCUACGGGAGGCAGCAGUGGGGAAUAUUGCACAAUGGGCGCAAGCCUGAUGCAGCAACGCCGCGUGAGGGACGACGGCCUUCGGGUUGUAAACCUCUUUUAGCAGGGAAGAAGCGAAAGUGACGGUACCUGCAGAAAAAGCACCGGCUAACUACGUGCCAGCCGCCGCCGUAAAAC
rnacentral:rRNA from 1 species